rnacentral:rRNA from 1 species
UACAGAGGUGGCGAGCGUUAUUCGGAAUUAUUGGGCGUAAAGGGCGCGUAGGCGGCCAAGCAAGUCCUGGGUGAAAUCCCCGGGCUCAACCCGGGAACUGCGUCCGAUACUGGAAGGCUUGAAUCCGGGAGAGGGAUGUGGAAUUCCAGGUGUAGCGGUGAAAUGCGUAGAUAUCUGGAGGAACACCGGUGGCGAAGGCGACAUCCUGGACCGGUAUUGACGCUGAGGCGCGAAAGCCAGGGGGAGCAAACGGGG